UGGGGGGCGGGGAGAUGUACCAAAGGCCUGUUCCCUAUCAGGGACUAUUGUGUGGUGCCCUGUGACACAGGGCGCUGUGGGUGCCGUGGGAGUGAAAACAUUCUUCCGCCCUCAUAGUGAGAGAGUGGGUGCUUAGUGGGUCGGUCUCGCUUAAACCUAAGGCAUGGCCGGGCUGCAAAGAGUGACCAACAUUAAGACAACAUAAAAAAAAAAAAAA